CUUGGACCAGGAGAGACCAAAACCCAUUUAAACCCACACUAUGUUGUGGAUGGUUGCCAAGGUGUUAUGAGUUCUUUUUAGAAUGCAAAAGUGUACCAAUGUACAUUAGUAGUGAUUCAUAUAUCAGUAGUUUCAUGAAUGUUUAGAUCAGAGUUGAAUGUGUCCAGAUUGAAUAUGUUAUCUGUGAAAGCUGAUGAUGUAUCACAGGUCUUUCCCCUUCACUGAAGCACUAAGCAAUGACGUCAGGGCAGGGAUGGCAUCAGAUGGACGCUGGUGUCAGCUUCCUGUGAUGUGGCCAAUUCAAUUUAAAUUCAAUUGCUGUAUAUUCAAGAUAGUGGGGAUUUCAGGUAAUUCCUGGUAUGUUCACAGGUUUCUCUUUAAUUGCAUAGUGGCAC
ensembl:lncRNA